UACGGGGGGGGCAAGCGUUGUUCGGAAUUACUGGGCGUAAAGGGCUCGUAGGCGGCCAACUAAGUCAGACGUGAAAUCCCUCGGCUUAACCGGGGAACUGCGUCUGAUACUGGAUGGCUUGAGGUUGGGAGAGGGAUGCGGAAUUCCAGGUGUAGCGGUGAAAUGCGUAGAUAUCUGGAGGAACACCGGUGGCGAAGGCGGCAUCCUGGACCAAUUCUGACGCUGAGGAGCGAAAGCCGGGGGAGCAAACGGG
rnacentral:rRNA from 1 species